AUUCCCGUUAAGAGAUAUGACAAUUGCCGUACGGCCUACUUUUACGCAAACGAAAAUUAGCUACAAUUGCCACUUUCAUGCUUAAUUUUCUCUGUUAUCCAGGCAUGUAGUAAUGUAAUUUUAUGCCAAUGUGAUGUGCUGAUGAAAUUUGCAGUUGUAAUUUGCGUUUGCGUAAAAGUAGUCCGUACGGCAAUUGUCAUAUCUUAACGGGAAUUUGAGUUAUAUUUAAACCGAUAACUGCAUUGAAAAGCCCUUGAAAAAUAGCACCUUACAUUGGCAUAAAAUUACAUUACUACAUGCCCAGAUAACAGAGAAAAUUAAGCAUGAAAUUUGCAGUUGUAAUUUGCGUUUGCGUAAA
rnacentral:lncRNA from 1 species